rnacentral:rRNA from 1 species
GGAUUAAGAUGGGCAUGCGUGUCAUUAGCUAGUUGGCGGGGUAACGGCCCACCAAGGCGACGAUGACUAGGGGAUCUGAGAGGAUGACCCCCCACACUGGUACUGAGACACGGACCAGACUCCUACGGGAGGCAGCAGUAAGGAAUAUUGGUCAAUGGAGGCAACUCUGAACCAGCCAUGCCGCGUGCAGGAAGACAGCCCUCUGGGUCGUAAACUGCUUUUAUUCGGGAAUAAACCACAUUACGUGUAAUGUGCUGAAUGUACCGAAGGAAUAAGGAUUGGCUAACUCCGUGCCAGCAGCCGCGGUAAUACGGAGGAUCCAAGCGUUAUCCGGAUUUAUUGGGUUUAAAGGGUGCGUAGGCGGCUUAUUAAGUCAGGGGUGAAAGACGGUGGCUCAACCAUCGCAGUGCCUUUGAUACUGAUGAGCUUGAAUACACUAGAGGUAGGCGGAAUGUGACAAGUAGCGGUGAAAUGCAUAGAUAUGUCACAGAACACCGAUUGCGAAGGCAGCUUACUAUGGUGUGAUUGACGCUGAGGCACGAAAGCGUGGGGAUCAAACAGGAUUAGAUACCCUGGUAGUCCACGCCCUAAACGAUGAAUACUCGCUGUUAGCGAUAUACAGUUAGCGGCUAAGCGAAAGCGUUAAGUAUUCCACCUGGGGAGUACGCCCGCAAGGGUGAAACUCAAAGGAAUUGACGGGGGCCCGCACAAGCGGAGGAGCAUGUGGUUUAAUUCGAUGAUACGCGAGGAACCUUACCCGGGCUUGAAAGUUAGUGAAUCAUUUAGAGAUAGAUGAGUCCGCAAGGACACGAAACUAGGUGCUGCAUGGCUGUCGUCAGCUCGUGCCGUGAGGUGUUGGGUUAAGUCCCGCAACGAGCGCAACCCCUAUGUUUAGUUGCCAGCACGUUAUGGUGGGGACUCUAAACAGACUGCCUGUGCAAACAGAGAGGAAGGAGGGGACGACGUCAAGUCAUCAUGGCCCUUACGUCCGGGGCUACACACGUGCUACAAUGGAUGGUACAGAGGGCAGCAAGCUGGCAACAGCAAGCGAAUCUCAAAAAGCCAUUCACAGUUCGGAUAGAGGUCUGCAACUCGACCUCUUGAAGUUGGAUUCGCUAGUAAUCGCGUAUCAGCAAUGACGCGGUGAAUACGUUCCCGGGCCUUGUACACACCGCCCGUCAAGCCAUGGAAGUUGGGGGUACCUAAAGUAUGUAACCGCAAGGAGCGUCCUAGGGUAAAACCGAUAACUGGGGCUAAGUCGUAACAAGGUA